CUAUAAUGCAGUCGAGCGAAUGGAUUAAGAGCUUGCUCUUAUGAAGUUAGCGGCGGACGGGUGAGUAACACGUGGGUAACCUACCCAUAAGACUGGGAUAACUCCGGGAAACCGGGGCUAAUACCGGAUAAUAUUUUGAACUGCAUAGUUCGAAAUUGAAAGGCGGCUUCGGCUGUCACUUAUGGAUGGACCCGCGUCGCAUUAGCUAGUUGGUGAGGUAACGGCUCACCAAGGCGACGAUGCGUAGCCGACCUGAGAGGGUGAUCGGCCACACUGGGACUGAGACACGGCCCAGACUCCUACGGGAGGCAGCAGUAGGGAAUCUUCCGCAAUGGACGAAAGUCUGACGGAGCAACGCCGCGUGAGUGAUGAAGGCUUUCGGGUCGUAAAACUCUGUUGUUAGGGAAGAACAAGUGCUAGUUGAAUAAGCUGGCACCUUGACGGUACCUAACCAGAAAGCCACGGCUAACUACGUGCCAGCAGCCGCGGUAAUACGUAGGUGGCAAGCGUUAUCCGGAAUUAUUGGGCGUAAAGCGCGCGCAGGUGGUUUCUUAAGUCUGAUGUGAAAGCCCACGGCUCAACCGUGGAGGGUCAUUGGAAACUGGGAGACUUGAGUGCAGAAGAGGAAAGUGGAAUUCCAUGUGUAGCGGUGAAAUGCGUAGAGAUAUGGAGGAACACCAGUGGCGAAGGCGACUUUCUGGUCUGUAACUGACACUGAGGCGCG
rnacentral:rRNA from 2 species